AGAGUUUGAUCAUGGCUCAGAAUGAACGCUGGCGGCGUGCUUAACACAUGCAAGUCGAACGAUGAAGCCUAGCUUGCUAGGUGGAUUAGUGGCGCACGGGUGAGUAAUAUAUAGGUAACGUGCCUCUUAGUCUGGGAUAGCCAUUGGAAACGAUGAUUAAUACUAGAUACUCCUUCUCAUUAUAAUUUGAGUCGGGAAAGUUUUUCGCUAAGAGAUCGGCCUAUUUCCCAUCAGUUAGUUGGUAGUGUAAGAGACUACCAAGGCAAUGACGGGUAGCGGGUUUGAGAGGAUGAUCCGCCACACUGGUACUGAGACACGGACCAGACUCCUACGGGAGGCAGCAGUGAGGAAUAUUGCACAAUGGAGGAAACUCUGAUGCAGCAACGCCGCGUGGAGGAUGACGCAUUUCGGUGUGUAAACUCCUUUUAUGAGUCAAGAAAAUGACGGUAGCUCAUGAAUAAGCACCGGCUAACUUCGUGCCAGCAGCCGCGGUAAUACGGAGGGUGCAAGCGUUAUUCGGAAUCACUGGGCGU
rnacentral:rRNA from 1 species